ACGAACCGAGCGAACGUUGUUCGGAAUCACUGGGCUUAAAGGGCGCGUAGGCGGGCAUCCAAGUCUGUGGUGAAAUCCGGCAGCUUAACUGUCGAACUGCCGUGGAUACUGGGUGUCUCGAGGGAGGUAGGGGCGCGCGGAACUAUUGGUGGAGCGGUGAAAUGCGUUGAUAUCAAUAGGAACUCCGGUGGCGAAGGCGGCGCGCUGGACCUCUUCUGACGCUGAGGCGCGAAAGCCAGGGGAGCAAACGGG
rnacentral:rRNA from 1 species